rnacentral:tRNA from 1 species
AAUAAGAUGCCUGAUUAAAGGGUUAUUUUGAUAGGAUAAAUUAAAUGUAAAUACAUUCUUAUUG